CUGAUGCAGACGUCACAGGCCUGGGCUGCGUCACUGAGUCCUGGGACUUGGUUCUGGAGGCCAAAGAAGCUGGUUGAAGAAAUAAAGGGCUGCUCAGGCUCCCCAGGGGCAGGGCUGUGCCACCAUCACAUGACCAGUCAUGAACAGUACUGGACUCAGGCCCGAGACCUGGACUCCUA
rnacentral:lncRNA from 1 species